GUGGGGAAUAUUGCACAAUGGGCGAAAGCCUGAUGCAGCAACGCCGCGUGAGUGAUGAAGGUCUUCGGAUUGUAAAGCUCUGUCUUUUGGGACGAUAAUGACGGUACCAAAGGAGGAAGCCACGGCUAACUACGUGCCAGCAGCCGCGGUAAUACGUAGGUGGCGAGCGUUGUCCGGAUUUACUGGGCGUAAAGGGUGCGUAGGCGGAUGUUUAAGUGAGAUGUGAAAUACCCGGGCUUAACUUGGGUGCUGCAUUUCAAACUGGAUAUCUAGAGUGCAGGAGAGGAGAAUGGAAUUCCUAGUGUAGCGGUGAAAUGCGUAGAGAUUAGGAAGAACACCAGUGGCGAAGGCGAUUCUCUGGACUGUAACUGACGCUGAGGCACGAAAGCGUGGGUAGCAAACAGGAUUAGAUACCCUGGUAGUCCACGCCGUAAACGAUGAGUACUAGGUGUAGGAGGUAUCGACCCCUUCUGUGCCGCAGUAAACACAUUAAGUACUCCGCCUGGGAAGUACGAUCGCAAGAUUAAAACUCUAAAGUGAAUUGACGGGGUC
rnacentral:rRNA from 1 species